rnacentral:ncRNA from 18 species
CAUUUUUAUUUCAUAAUUACCUUCGUUUCCCGAAAUGAACUGUACGACUUAGUAUUCACGCCAGGCUUAAUGCCUGGCGUUUUUUUU